rnacentral:snRNA from 1 species
GGAUGUGAUGGAGAUCUGGCAGCGACAUCUGUCACCUUGUUGAUCUCCAGGGUCGAUUGAUUUGGCUGAUCUGGCUGGCUAGGCGGGCGUCCCCUUCCUCCCUCACUGCUCCAUGUGCGUCCCUCCUGAAGCUGUGUGCUUUGUGGAAGAGGAUGCCCCAAAUAGAGGAGGACUUUUCUUCAGUCAAAGAUAUGCAAGUAGCUGUGCUCCCCUGCUAGAACCUCCAAACAAGCUCUCAAAAAUGGACUUAGUAUCUUGCAGGUUUUUCUUCCUUCUGAUCACAGCAAAUUUCUGUGAAUUUGGCAUGUUUUAAAU